rnacentral:rRNA from 1 species
ACAGAGAUGGCGAGCGUUAAUCGGAUUUAUUGGGUGUAAAGGGCAGGUAGGUGUUUUGCCAAGUUGUAAGUGAAAUCAUAAGGAUCAACAUUAGAACGGCUUACAAAACUGGCGAAAUUGAGAUUGGUAGAGGAAAGCGGAAUUCCCGGUGUAAGGUUUUAAUCUGUAUAUAUCGCAAGAAACACCAGUGGCGAGAGCACCUUUCUGGACCAAUUCUCACACUAAUCUGCGAAAUCUCGGGAAUCAGACAG